rnacentral:rRNA from 1 species
AGAGUUUGAUCAUGGCUCAGAUUGAACGCUGGCGGCAGGCCUAACACAUGCAAGUCGAGCGGUAACACAAGGGAGCUUGCUCCUGAGGUGACGAGCGGCGGACGGGUGAGUAAUGCCUAGGGAUCUGCCCAGUCGAGGGGGAUAACAGUUGGAAACGACUGCUAAUACCGCAUACGCCCUACGGGGGAAAGGAGGGGACCUUCGGGCCUUCCGCGAUUGGAUGAACCUAGGUGGGAUUAGCUAGUUGGUGAGGUAAUGGCUCACCAAGGCGACGAUCCCUAGCUGUUCUGAGAGGAUGAUCAGCCACACUGGGACUGAGACACAGCCCAGACUCCUACGGGAGGCAGCAGUGGGGAAUAUUGCACAAUGGGGGAAACCCUGAUGCAGCCAUGCCGCGUGUGUGAAGAAGGCCUUCGGGUUGUAAAGCACUUUCAGUAGGGAGGAAAGGUAAUAGUUUAAUAAACUAUUACUGUGACGUUACCUACAGAAGAAGGACCGGCUAACUCCGUGCCAGCAGCCGCGGUAAUACGGAGGGUCCGAGCGUUAAUCGGAAUUACUGGGCGUAAAGCGUGCGCAGGCGGUUUGUUAAGCCAGAUGUGAAAUCCCCGGGCUCAACCUGGGAAUUGCAUUUGGAACUGGCGAACUAGAGUCUUGUAGAGGGGGGUAGAAUUCCAGGUGUAGCGGUGAAAUGCGUAGAUAUCUGGAGGAAUACCGGUGGCGAAGGCGGCCCCCUGGACAAAGACUGACGCUCAUGCACGAAAGCGUGGGGAGCAAACAGGAUUAGAUACCCUGGUAGUCCACGCCGUAAACGAUGUCUACUCGGAGUUUGGUGACUUAGUCACUGGGCUCCCAAGCUAACGCAUUAAGUAGACCGCCUGGGGAGUACGGCCGCAAGGUUAAAACUCAAUUGAAUUGACGG